rnacentral:lncRNA from 1 species
AUAUUAAUAGUACAUACCAUCCACUUUUUCGCCCUUAGAUCAUUAUUAUUACACUAAUCACCUACUAAACCCUAUUCAAUAGUCACAAAGUGAAUAAUAUCAUACUAUUAGGCCCCGUUUGGAUACCUCUAAAAAUGGUAUAGUUAAAUUAUACUACACCGGUAGAUUAUAAUCCACUUUAACAAAAAGAAAAGAAUUCCACCAUUCUUGAGCUCUCUUAUUCCAAAGAUGCAUCAAGUUCUAAAUUUCAACAUAAAAUUUUAAAUUUCAACAAGGAUUUAAAUUUUAAAUUUUAUAAUUUAAUUUAUAUUCAAUUUUUUAAUUUCAAUUUUAAAUUUUAAAUAUCAAAAAUUAAAUUUUANAUUUUAUAAAUUCAAAUUUUAAUUUUUGAAUAUCAAAUUUUAAAUUUUUGUCUACAAAUAAUAAAUUUCAAUCUCUAAAUUUUCUAAUUUAUAAUUUCAAUUUUAAUUCUCAAUUUUAAUUCUCAAUUUUAAAUUUUCAAAUUUAAUUUUUAAAUUUAAAUUUUCAAAUUUAAAUUUUCAUUUUAAAUUUCAGUUUUCAAAAUUCAAAUUUUAAAUUUAAAUUUUAAAUUUCAAAUAUCAAAUUUUAAACUCCAAGUUUUAAAUUUUAAAUUUUAAAUUUUAAAUUUUAAAUUUUAGUUUUCAAUUUUUAAAUUUUAAAUUUUAAAUUUCAAAUUUCAAACUUUAAAUUUUAAAUUUUAAAUUUCAGAUUCCAAAUUUGAAAUUUCAAAUCUCAAAUCUCAUAGUUCAAAUUUCAAAGUUUGAACUUUAAAUUUUAAAUUCUAAAUUUUAAAUUUUAAAUUUUAAAUUCAAAAUUUUAAAUUUUAAAUUUCAAAUUUUUAAUUUUGAAUUUUUAUUUUAAAAUUUUAAAUGUCUAAAUUUAAAAAUUAAAUUUAGAUUUUUAUAUUUUAAAUUUUUAAUUUUCAAAUUUUAAAUUCAAAUUUCAAAAUUCAAAAUUUAAAAUUUAAAACUUCACAUUUCACAUAUCAAAUUUUAAACUUUAAAUUUCAAUGAAAUUUUAAAUUUUAAAUUUUGACCUUUAAUUUUAAAAUUUAGAGAAAUCCAGUGAAAUUGCACAAUGUGCAUCCAAAUAAUUUAAAAAUUAAAUCCGUGGAAUUUUUUAGAGUUACAGGAUUCUCUAUUUCAUUUGGACCAAAACCACUAUUUAUAAAUUCUGUGGAGAAUUUUUGCUGUGCAUCCAAACAUACCCUUAAUAGUAUUCUAACACAGCUCUAGAGAGAGAGAGAGAGAGAGAGAGAGAGAUGAACUAGAUUAUUAUCGGUAGCAGACGGGCUCUAUUGCUACCAAUUUACUUUCGAUGAUGGAGCUUUUGAAUUGACGAUCGGCGCAGUUGAAUAUAAUUUAAACCACUGAAAGUAUCUAGAGAUUAAAUUUUAGAUUUUUUCGAUAUUAUUUUUUUGUGCAUCAAGUGGACGCAAAAAUAAAUUGCUAAAAGUAAAUACCCUUCAUAAAGUAAUGAUAUAAUUUUUGUAAUCAAGACCACGAAUGUAGAUCUUGUUUAAAAUAUUUUAAAGAUUUUUUUUUACAAAAAGAUGCUAGUUUGGAGGGAUGUAUGCGAUAACUAAAACUUUGUAGGGAUAACUAUACAAUUUUAUUGCAUUGUAGAGAUGCAUAAGCAAUUAACCCUAAAAUAUGUAGUUGUUAAACUUGACUAGUAAUACAUGAGUCUUUUCUUUAAUUGAACUUGUGAUUUUGCUUCUAUUUCUCUCAACAAUUACAUAUAUUAUAUGCAAUUGAUCUAAAGUUUCAAAUAAGGGGAAAAAUAAAAAC